rnacentral:tRNA from 1 species
UUAAUUGAAACCAAAAAGAGGUAUAUCACUGUUAAUGAUAAAAUUGGGAAAAUCCCCCAAUUAAG